CACUUCUAGCAUAACAACUAUUAGAGGCACUGCCUGCCCAGUGACAUCUGUUAAACGGCCGCGGUAUCCUGACCGUGCAAAGGUAGCAUAAUCAUUUGUUCUCUAAAUAAGGACUUGUAUGAAUGGCAACACGAGGGUCUAACUGUCUCUUACUUCCAAUCAGUGAAAUUGACCUUCCCGUGAAGAGGCGGGAAUACGCAAAUAAGACGAGAAGACCCUAUGGAGCUUCAAUUAACUAACCUACAGGCCAUAAAUUUCACCUCCAAGGAGGACAAAACAACACCCUGAUGGGUUAACAAUUUAGGUUGGGGUGACCUCGGAAUACAAAAAAACUUCCGAGCGAUUAAAAUCUAGACCAACAAGUCAAAAUUAAUCACAUCAAACAUUGAUCCAAUAUUUCUUGAUCAACGGAACAAGUUACCCUAGGGAUAACAGCGCAAUCCUAUUUGAGAGUCCAUAUCGAUAAUAGGGUUUACGACCUCCAUAUUGGAUCAGGACAUCCCAAUGGUGCAGCAGCUAUUAAUGGUUCGUUUGUUCAACGAUUAAAGUCCU
rnacentral:rRNA from 1 species